rnacentral:rRNA from 1 species
UACGUAGGUGGCAAGCGUUGUCCGGAAUUAUUGGGCGUAAAGCGCGCGCAGGCGGCCUUUUAAGUCUGCUGUGAAAGCCCACGGCUCAACCGUGGAAGGUCAUUGGAAACUGAAAGGCUUGAGUACAGAAGAGGAAAGCGGAAUUCCACGUGUAGCGGUGAAAUGCGUAGAGAUGUGGAGGAACACCCAUUGCGAAGGCAGCUCGCUGGGACGUUACUGACGCUGAGACGCGAAAGCGUGGGGAGCAAACAGG